rnacentral:rRNA from 1 species
UACGUAGGGUGCGAGCGUUAAUCGGAAUUACUGGGCGUAAAGCGUGCGCAGGCGGUCUGCUAAGACAGGUGUGAAAUCCCUGGGUUCAACCUAGGAAUUGCGCUUGUGACUGGCAGGCUAGAGUACGGUAGCGGGGGGUGGAAUUCCUGGUGUAGCAGUGAAAUGCGUAGAGAUCAGGAGGAACACCGAUGGCGAAGGCAGCGCCCUGGGCCUGUACUGACGCUCAGGCACGAAAGCGUGGGGAGCAAACAGG